rnacentral:rRNA from 1 species
AUGACAGGGUCCUGGCGAUGCUCAUUCACGUGUAGGCGGAGGAGGCGCUCAACGCAAACAAAAUCUACAAGGACCUGGGUGGUUUUCGGCUCCACGGACAAGAAUCUCCUGCGCAGUUUCACCGAGUAUCUUCUGACGGGACACAACUUUCUGAGGCGUCACACGAUGAAGGAGCCAUUGGAAGAGCGUCGUGCUCCGGCAGCAAAGCGCAAGGCCCCCGCCGGUGCAGCGGCCACGAACCCAGUCGACGACGGUGGCAUGAAGAAACCUCGCACCGGCGGACAAAAGGUGACGAACCGCCGCGCCUCCCCUCUUGUUGUCGACACCUCGAAGAGGGACAAAUCCUCUAAGUGUAGGAAGGCGUGGGAGUUUGAGACCACGUACUCGAAGCUUGUGGUCACACUAAGACGCACCAAGAAAGCACUAGAAGAAGAACCGCUAGGACACCACGGACGGCCACAGAAAAUUGAGGAAAUUGAGGAACUCUACCCUUGUCGCGAGUGCCAGGGGGUUCUCCAGGAGAUGUAUGGCGACAUGUUCGGAGCGAUGCAGGAGGCACUCGAGGACGAGGUGCGCACCGAGCUGGCGCUAAAGACGAUACUACGCAGGAUGAGGAAGCUGGAGCAUGUGCAUUGA